rnacentral:lncRNA from 15 species
ACAAGCUGUGACCAGAACACGAAUGGAAAAUACUGAAGCAGAGGUGGGGGUUGAGUUCAACAAUACUGCAUCAUCUUCUGAUAUCCCACAGUCAGGUGAUGUGGCAGACACCUUAAUAGAAGCUGUGUCUAACUCCAGCAACAAUUUCAACCUCUCUGUUCAGACUGACUCCAUCAAAGUAGUUCGUAAGUAAAAGUACACUUGUAUUGCACUCCAGCAGCAAGGCAUGUAUCACUGUCUGUGACACCAGUGUGUGUGUGUGUGUGUGUGUGUGUGUGUGUGUGUGUGUGUGUGUGUGCUUAUUCUUAGUGUUGGUCAGCAUCAGCAAGACCACUUUAACUGUCCUUUACUAUAACUUUCCAAACAUAAACAUACAGUACAGUAUAUUGUAAUGUAUAUGUACUAUGUAUGUACUACACCUGUAGCUUCAACAACAACUGGUGCGCCAACUAUAACUGGAGGUUCAACAACAACAAUUAGUGGGUCAACAACAACUGCUGCCUCAACUACAACAGGAGCUUCAACAACAACUGGUACAUCAGCUACUGGAGUAUCAACAACAACUGGGGGAUCUACUACAACUGGUGCGUCAACUACAACUGGGGGAUCAACAACAACUGUUGCCUCAACUAUAACUGGAGGUUCAACAACAACAAUUAGUGGGUCAACAACAACUAGAGGUUCAACGACAACUGGUGGGUCAACAACAACUGCUGCCUCAACUACAACAGGAGCUUCAACAACAACUGGUACGUCAGCUACUGGAGGGUCAACAGCAACUGGGGGAUCUACUACAACUGGUGGAUCAACAGCAAAUGGUGGAUCAACUACAACUGGUGCAUCAACUACAACUGGUGCGUCAACUACAACUGGUGCAUCAACUUCAACUGAUGUCUCAACAACAACUGGUGCGUCAACUACAACUGGGGGAUCAACCACAACUGUUGCCUCAACUAUAACUGGAGGUUCAACAACAACAAUUAGUGGGUCAACAACAACUGCUGCCUCAACUACAACAGGAGCUUCAACAACAACUGGUACAUCAGCUACUGGAGUAUCAACAACAACUGGGGGAUCUACGACAACUGGUGCCUCCACACCAACUGAAACAACUGCAGCCCCCACUUUAAAUACUACAGCUACAACUGCUACAAAUACAAUGACCAGUGCUGCAACUCCAAUUAUUGCUGCUACAACUACAACAACAACGGUCGCAACUACAACCACAACAACUCCUACAACCACUACAUCUGUAGCGACAACUGCUGAGGCAGUCACAACAAGGCGGCUGACUUUUAGAUCUGCUGGACAGACAUUUACAAGUGACUUGCUGAAUCCAUCAUCUGCAGCAUUUACAAGUCAAGCCACAAUGAUAAAGUCAACACUUGAACCUUUCUACCGAAACGCAUUUCCUUCAUUCCGCUCCUUGACAGUGAUUUCUUUCAGUAAUGGAUCAAUCAUCAACACCAUGGACCUAGGAUUUGCAUCUGUACCUAAUGACACUCAGAUUGGAAAUACUUUGGUCAGCGCAGCUUCAAACAUCACAGCCUUCAACAUUGACACCACUUCCAUUUCUGUGAAUGGCACACGUAAGCAAUACUGAAAGCUACCUCAUCAAAAAUUUACAAGAUUACAGAACUGUUUGUUAAAGCAAGCAAGUCAUGUAUCCAUCACUGUUUGUGACACCAGUGUGUGUGCUUAUUUUUAGUGUUGGUCAGUAAACAAUUCUGUUGUCUCAAUCAACAAAAGGAAGUAAUUACUGGAUUAGUACUAUUUAAUCUAUUUGAUAUACUCCAGAAUUUUAUCUGAAAAUAAUCACCCUACUANCAU